GAGAGCUGUGGGUUCUCUGCUGAGCACUUGACCUCAACAGAAGCAGAGCAGCAAAUCAUUCCAGAAGAAUUUUUAGCUGAGAUUUGGUAAACAGCAGCGUCAUCUGGGCUACAGCUGGGAUGAAGAGAAUACACAGACCAUGAUCCCAGUGCCAGAGAAACCACCCACCCUGAAAGCACCAAGACUUAUGGAAAAAAACAGAAGGGAAGAGAAGAAAAUAUGACAGAGAGACCAAAGGACCAGGUCAUUCCUCUGCUCCCCAGAAAACUCUCCCAACAAGAUUAAAAUUGCUGGAACAAACCCUGCAUCUGACCAGACGCCCCAAGGACAGAGUUUGUGGGAGCCAGAGCUCAAGCUAUUGGCUGGAGAAAAAGGGAUCUCAGGGGAGAAGAGUUUUCUGUGAACCCUCAGGAAAGACCACUGGUGCCUCUACGUUUCGGAAAGUAGAGACAGAAUCCAAGAAGGAAAACAGCUCACAAGGCACCCUCUGCCUUGGUUGUGGCCUCUGUACUGCUAACUGGGCUACCUGAAGAUGGCAAGCAGCCUGAGAUGCAUCUAGCCAGCUUGGGGAUAUCAAGGAACGAGCGAUGGAAGAAUUCAGUUGAAAGAAGUCUCAAAACCAAAUAACUCCAAAGGACAACUCUCAUGGCAGCCACCUUGCGCAAGGAUGACACUAUUUAGAGAAGACGUGUUUGAGAACCAGUGGAGCAGAGGAAAAUCUUAAACUACCAACUGAGGAGCAAAUGAGCCUGUUUAUGCAAGAGCAGGACUGGAGUGAAGAUCGAGGAAUUUUAUGGCUUCAGAUCUUACAUUCAAAUCUUCAACCCACUUCAAAUUGCUUUUUGUAUAUGGUGACAGAUAAGGGUCCGGUUUCAUUCUUUUGCAUAUGGAGAUCCAGUUUUCCCAACCCUGUCCUUCCCUCAUUGUGUUUCUGAGUGUCCUGGUCAAAGAUUGAUGUGGUGGCAAGUUACUUGUGGAAUGUUCCUAAUACAUCACUUGCUAUAUGGUAAGUGCCCAAUAAUUGUUAGUAAUUGACACUGUGGGGGGUGGGGAGGGUUGGACACACAGACAAGCAGAAGACAGACCUCUGCCCUCAUCCAGGUGCACAUAGGGAGCCAAGAAGGUAUACAGGAGGGACUCUCAGAGGGAAGAGAGGGGGAAUGGGGUGAAGGAUGCUUCAGGGCAGUAACAUAUCAGGGGGUUUUGAAAGAUGAGGAGGCACUUUGGGGAGAAGGAUAAGGGAUCUGCAGAACAUUCUGAUAGAAGUAAGAGCUUGUGGAAAGUGAUGUGUGGAAAAGCGUGGCUUAUUCAGAGGAACCACAGAAGGAGUUUGGGAUAGCUGGACUAAGUUAGAAAGGAGGGCGUCAGGCGUGGGCCCAUGACCCGUGGGGGUCACACAGGGCCUCUUCUUCACAUUGGCCACAUGUUCGGUUUAACGUUCUGCUCUUGCCACCACAGAAUUCUUAGUUAUUCCUGAACAACGGCCCUACACUUUCAUUUUCCAGUUGAGCCCUGCAAAUUCUGGAGCUGGGCUCAGAGCAGAUAUGGUAUUUGCUCCAUCAGAAAAUGUAAGUGUGGGAUGAUGAGCCAGCUACUCGUGGGGAAGAAAAUACAGGUAAUUUCUGGAGGGGAAUUCAUGUAAAAAUUAAUGUUGGUCCCAGAAGGAAACCUGAGGAUCUCUCUCUCCAACCUCAGAACUUAGCAAGCAAUAGUUUUUGCUGCACUUAGAUCUUUUGGACCCUUCAUACAUAUGUAAAAAUACCAUGUCAGAUGUCGUUGGCUGAUGGUGGAGAGUUUCUUUCAUCUUACCUAAGAAAGUGGCAGAUGUUUUACUCUUCCAGGGAUCACUCCUCCCUGACAGUCUGUUCUAUACCCUCUCCUGCCAGAAUAAAUGACUUGUUCUAGAAUGUUCUCACGGCACCCUUGUAGGCCCCAAGUAUUCAACAUAAAAAGGUUGAAGAACCUGUUUUUCCCUU